rnacentral:rRNA from 1 species
AGUGAACGCUGGCGGUAGGCCUAACACAUGCAAGUCGAGCGGCAGCACAGUAAGAGCUUGCUCUUACGGGUGGCGAGUGGCGGACGGGUGAGGAAUACAUCGGAAUCUACUUUUUCGUGGGGGAUAACGUAGGGAAACUUACGCUAAUACCGCAUACGACCUACGUGUGAAAGCAGGGGAUCUUCGGACCUUGCGCGAUUGAAUGAGCCGAUGUCGGAUUAGCUAGUUGGCGGGGUAAAGGCCCACCAAGGCGACGAUCCGUAGCUGGUCUGAGAGGAUGAUCAGCCACACUGGAACUGAGAAACGGUCCAGACUCCUACGGGAGGCAGCAGUGGGGAAUAUUGGACAAGGGGCGCAAGCCUGAUCCAGCCAUACCGCGUGGGUGAAGAAGGACUUCGGGUUGUAAAGCCCUUUUGUUGGGAAAGAAAAGCAGCAGGUUAAUACCCCGCUGUUCUGACGGUACCCAAAGAAUAAGCACCGGCUAACUUCGUG